rnacentral:rRNA from 1 species
GUUGUAAACCUCUUUUAUAAGGGAAGAAUAAGUUCUACGUGUAGAAUGAUGCCUGUACCUUAUGAAUAAGCAUCGGCUAACUCCGUGCCAGCAGCCGCGGUAAUACGGAGGAUGCGAGCGUUAUCCGGAUUUAUUGGGUUUAAAGGGUGCGUAGGCGGUUUAUUAAGUUAGUGGUUAAAUAUUUGAGCUAAACUCAAUUGUGCCAUUAAUACUGGUAAACUGGAGUACAGACGAGGUAGGCGGAAUAAGUUAAGUAGCGGUGAAAUGCAUAGAUAUAACUUAGAACUCCGAUAGCGAAGGCAGCUUACCAGACUGUAACUGACGCUGAUGCACGAGAGCGUGGGUAGCGAACAGGAUUAGAUACCCUGGUAGUCCACGCCGUAAACGAUGCUCACUGGUUCUGUGCGAUAUAUUGUACGGGAUUAAGCGAAAGUAUUAAGUGAGCCACCUGGGGAGUACGUCGGCAACGAUGAAACUCAAAGGAAUUGACGGGGGCCCGCACAAGCGGAGGAACAUGUGGUUUAAUUCGAUGAUACGCGAGGAACCUUACCUGGGUUUAAAUGGGAAAUGUCGUAUUUGGAAACAGAUAUUCUCUUCGGAGCGUUUUUCAAGGUGCUGCAUGGUUGUCGUCAGCUCGUGCCGUGAGGUGUCGGCUUAAGUCCCAUAACGAGCGCAACCCUUACCGUUAGUUGCUAGCAUGUAAUGAUGAGCACUCUAACGGGACUGCCACCGUAAGGUGAGAGGAAGGCGGGGAUGACGUCAAAUCAGCACGGCCCUUACACCCAGGGCUACACACGUGUUACAAUGGCCGGUACAGAGGGCCGCUACCAGGUGACUGGAUGCCAAUCUCAAAAGCCGGUCGUAGUUCGGAUUGGAGUCUGUAACCCGACUCCAUGAAGUUGGAUUCGCUAGUAAUCGCGCAUCAGCCAUGGCGCGGUGAAUACGUUCCCGGGCCUUGUACACACCGCCCGUCAAGCCAUGGAAGCCGGGGGUGCCUGAAGUCCGUAACCGCGAGGAUCGGCCUAGGGCAAAACUGGUAACUGGGGCUAAGUCGUAACAAGGUAGCCGUACCGGAAGGUGCGGCUG